rnacentral:rRNA from 1 species
UACGUAGGGGGCACGCGUUGUCCGGAUUUACUGGGCGUAAAGCGCGUGUAGGCGGCCAUACAGGUCCGUUGUGAAAACUGGAGGCUCAACUUCCAGACGUCGACGGAAACCGUGUGGCUAGAGUCCGGAAGAGGAGAGUGGAAUUCCUGGUGUAGCGGUGAAAUGCGCAGAUAUCAGGAGGAACACCGGUGGCGAAGGCGGGUCUCUGGGCCGAUACUGACGCUGAGGAGCGAAAGCGUGGGGAGCGAACAGG